GCCUUCGCCGGACUGUGCAUAGCUUGCAAAGUGCUAUGUCGGAUCAAACUUCGCUAGCGAGGCUUAGGCCAAGCGCACUCAGCGAGCUCUGCUCCUUGUGAUAAUGUUCCUUGCGAGCGUUCGCUUCACUUGAUCAGUGCUUGCUAGAAAAGCAUUCGCGAAGUAUUCUUCUCUAGAACUUGCUUCGAGGCCGCGAGCGAACUCGCUCAUGUCCUCGCUCGCCGCCAGUCGCUGAUAUCUCCGUGUGCGACGCUCGCGGUCAUUCGCUUUCGCGCGCGGCCGUUCCUCCUCGGUCAUUUGCUUGCGACCAGUCUUCGCGCCAAUCUGCUCGCGGCCAGUCCUCUGCGGUCACUCGCUUGUGUGGUCGCUUGCCUUCGCUCGUGGGGAAUUGGCUUCGCGGCCGCUCGCGUUAUCGGUCGCUUGCUCAUAGUUUCGCUCGCUGCCAUUUCUUUCGCGGCCACUCGCUCGCGGCCAGUCUUCGCGGUCG
rnacentral:lncRNA from 1 species